rnacentral:lncRNA from 13 species
UGACUUCCUCGUGUUUUUUCUUUUAAUUCCAUCAGGACUUUAAUCAUUGCUCUACACAAUAAAUGCUAAAUUGAACCAACUUUUUUCUAAGAUCAAGUCUUGAUCUUGUUGCCCAGGCUGGAGUGCAUUGGCUCCCUGCAACCUCCGUCUCCCAGAUGCAAGCGUUUCUCCUGCCUCAGCCUCCCAAAUAGCUGGGAUUGCAGGUACAAAAGAAAGCAAGUGAUCCACACAUUCUGUAAACGUAGUAAUGCACACAGACCAGUGAUUACUGAUUCAUUGACUGGCAUGUAGAACAAACCAAGUAAGUCGAGAAAAAAAUACUAUUUUAAAAUAUCUUCCAUUUAUGUCCUCAUUAUUUUACAGUUACCUUUAUUUUAUGAUCUCUGUUAUUUCUAUGGUUUUCUAUUGACGAAUUUCUCUCCUUACUAAGAAUCUUUUUUUGUG